GGAAGUGUAGUUCAGUGGCAAGGCCCCCUCUUUGCAUUUAGAAGGUCCCAGGUUCAAUUCCUGGCAUCUCCA